rnacentral:rRNA from 1 species
GAACGCUAGCGGCAGGCUUAAUACAUGCAAGUCGAGGGCAGCAGCUUUGUAGCAAGUACAGGGGCUGGCGACCGGCAAACGGGUGCGGAACACGUACGCAACCUUCCUUUAACUGGAAGAUAGCCCACCGAAAGGUGGAUUAAUACACCGUAACAUAACGAUGUGGCAUCACAUUGUUAUUAUAGCUUCGGCGCUUCUUGAUGGGUGUGCGGCUGAUUAGAUAGUUGGCGGGGUAACGGCCCACCAAGUCUACGAUCAGUAGCUGAUGUGAGAGCAUGAUCAGCCACACGGGCACUGAGACACGGGCCCGACUCCUACGGGAGGCAGCAGUAAGGAAUAUUGGUCAAUGGACGCAAGUCUGAACCAGCCAUGCCGCGUGAAGGAUUAAGGUCCUCUGGAUUGUAAACUUCUUUUAUCUGGGACGAAAAAAGGCGAUUCUUCGUCACUUGACGGUACCAGAUGAAUAAGCACCGGCUAACUCCGUG